AUUGAACGCUGGCGGCAGGCCUAACACAUGCAAAUCGAGCGGAUGACGGGAGCUUGCUCCUUGAUUCAGCGGCGGACGGGUGAGUAAUGCCUAGGAAUCUGCCUGGUAGUGGGGGACAACGUUUCGAAAGGAACGCUAAUACUGCAUACGUCCUACGGGAGAAAGCAGGGGACCUUCGGGCCUUGCGCUAUCAGAUGAGCCUAGGUCGGAUUAGCUAGUUGGUGGGGUAACGGCUCACCAAGGCGACGAUCCGUAACUGGUCUGAGAGGAUGAUCAGUCACACUGGAACUGAGACACGGUCCAGACUCCUACGGGAGGCAGCAGUGGGGAAUAUUGGACAAUGGGCGAAAGCCUGAUCCAGCCAUGCCGCGUGUGUGAAGAAGGUCUUCGGAUUGUAAAGCACUUUAAGUUGGGAGGAAGGGCAGUAAGUUAAUACCUUGCUGUUUUGACGUUACCGACAGAAUAAGCACCGGCUAACUCUGUGCCAGCCGCCGCAGUAAAAC
rnacentral:rRNA from 1 species